rnacentral:rRNA from 1 species
UACGAAGGGGGCGAGCGUUGUUCGGAUUUACUGGGCGUAAAGGGCGCGUAGGCGGCGCCGCAAGUCGCGUGUGAAAGCCCCGGGCUCAACCUGGGAGGUGCGCGCGAGACUGUGGUGCUGGAGUUCGGGAGAGGAGCGUGGAAUUCCCAGUGUAGAGGUGAAAUUCGUAGAUAUUGGGAAGAACACCGGUGGCGAAGGGCGGCGCUCUGG